CCCAAUGCACCCCAUCUCGUUUCUUUCCCGGCGACCCGAGCAGCAGCAGGCGGGGCCCCAGCCGCAGCCAGCAGGCGACAGCGCCCCCAGCAGCAGGCGGCGGCAGCGGUCCUACCACGCGGCGGACCCGAGAGGAGACGGGCGGAGAAGGCGGCCCCCAAGAGGAACUGGAUGGAGCAGGCGGAUCCGACAGGAGCCGGCAGCGGCGCGGCUCCGACGCCAACCCUAACUCGUAUUAUUUGUUCUCCUCCUACCCCCCCCCCCCCCCCCCAAAAAAAUCAAGUAGGCCUGAUCUGGAACGUGCGUGUAGAGUACAUGUUACAGGCACUCCAAACACCAAACAUUGCGAGGCUCGAUGACUUUGGGUCGUGUCCGAUUCAGAAGCUAAGAUGUUGGGUUGUUCCUCAGAUACACCAGCAUUGCUUGAGGCUGGGACAAAUUCACAGGCAGCGGUACAAAUGCCCACUGAAUGGAACCAAGAAAAGCCAAGCUUGCUGUUUAUUUAUUUUUCCAUGUUUACUUUUUCCCUUACUGAUGGAUGCUCAUUUUUUUACAUCUUACAUACCACCAAGGAAGGCAAGGAAGAACAUUACCGAAGCGAGCACAACUGAACCUUGCACACACAAAGGUCCACCAUUGCUACGGAUGCAAUACUACAUGACAGUCCUGGAGUGCUCAUAAGAAGAUAAGCAGAAUUGGCGACUUGCAAUGUUACCUGGAGAGGGCAAUUCUUCUCGACCCAUCAUGGCCACUUCUUCUCAAACCACCAUGGUCACUUCAUCUCCAGCCAAGAAGACAAGUCCAAAAAAGAUGACACCAAAGAAGAGGAAGAGGAACAGACUUGCAUGUGUGCAGGGAGUACUUAUUUUGGGUCAAUGCAAUGUGAACUACUAAUGUUUAGUUAUGAAGCCUGAAUUAUCUUAGAUCCAAACUCUAUUAUGUGUGUUAAGUGUCAUGACUUGGUGUGUGAUGUCUGUUUGGUUGUUUAUGAACUAUGCAACCUAUCUGGAUGAGA